UAAAGUUUUACACUAGUUACUUGACACCCUGGUCGAUGCGCAAACUAGAAAAAUGUAGCAGGUCUAAAACUUUGCCUUAAAUCGUAUAUUUGGAUAGAGCCAUCAGAACAACCAGUUAGUAUUUACUCACCUUUUUGAAAAUAUUAGAUAGACGUGGCUGAAACUUUCUGACCUUUAGGGUGCCAUUUACCAUCUAUGAUUACUGCAACAUGGACUUUAGUAUUUACCAUGUCAUGCAGAUACAUAUCUCCCCGAACUGUCGUUUAUUUCUUUACCCCUUCGAAGGAAUAUAUUCUAGCCUGAUUGUUUGGA
rnacentral:misc_RNA from 1 species